rnacentral:lncRNA from 1 species
UUUUCUGAAUCUUCUAAUAAAACAGGCAUCCGGGAGCCAUGUAUCAUGUUUGCCUGGGGCUUCGGAUCUUCUUUGGAAGCCCUUUUAUGUGCCAAUAAAAAACGAGCGAUUAUAGCAGACGAUGAAAAGCAGCUAGCGCCUCGGAGCCACUGUGUGUUUGGAAAGAGUGGGUACGUUUCCCCCGAGAAUGACACGAUCUGGUCCUUUCUCCUUCGUUACGGAAUCAGGCAGAGAGGAGCUCUUGUUAAAGAAACGCAGAGAUUUCCACCAUCACUGUCCCCACUUGUGUGUGUGGUUGGAGGGCGGGGGCCCGGGGGGUGGCGAAGGGGAAGGAACACAGAACAAACAACCCUCUCUGGCUUUCCUAGUUUAAUACGUUCUUUUUUCUUUGUGAAAGGGAGGGCCAUAAGCCAAGGGCAGUAGCCAUGACCACCAGGGGCAAUUAACUCGCCCUUUUAAUUACUAGUCCUUCUCCGAAGACUCCAAAACCCUCACCAUUUCUAGAAUGGACAAAAGCCAGGUUGGAAGAGACCUCAAAAGGCCAUCCCCUCCCCCAGGAGCACAAGCGGGAAUCUCUCAUGUGCUUAAGGAGAACAGGUAGAGUCCUUGCACCGUCCCUAGAAGGCCAUCAAGGGGGCGAAUCCCCUUACCCCCGCCCCCUGUCCUGAGAACCGGAAACGAGGGAGGAUCCCAGGGUAUACUUGUGAAUCCAGGGUCGCGAUGCACAUGGAGCUGUGGUGUCCACACCCCACUGCUGAGCCAUUCGGGCAGCUAGGAGGCACGGCCACGGCCAGGAGCGGUGCAGGGCUGGAGACCCCGGGCUGCCCUAGAAAGUGUGCACCCCUCCUCCCCGUGCCUGGUUAGCCUGUCUCGGUGUCAAGUGUCAGGCAAGGAUGGACAUUAGAUUUCACGGGGUAUAAGCUACGGUGUCAGCCCUAACCUUGAACGUGUAGUGCCUGCACGGAUCGAAAUCCAGAAUAGGCAUCGAUUAGGGGGAACUACUGGACCAGGUGUAGACCUGCUGAGCUUUAAUCCUAGAUUCUCCAGUCACUACCACAUGGCCUUAGGCCAGGGGUUUCACCCUGGGGUGGUUUCACCGCACCCCAGGAGACGUUGGCAAUGUCUGGAGCCAUUUUUGUUGUCACGACUGAGGGGGUGGCGGUGAUCUUGGCAUCCAGUGGGCAGAGGCCACGGAUGCCACUUAAACAUCCUACAACACACAGAAUAGCUCCCCCAACAAAGGAUUAUUAGCCCC